AGAGUUUGAUCCUGGCUCAGAUUGAACGCUGGCGGCAUGCCUUACACAUGCAAGUCGAACGGUAACGCGGGGCAACCUGGCGACGAGUGGCGAACGGGUGAGUAAUACAUCGGAACGUGCCCAGUAGUGGGGGAUAGCCCGGCGAAAGCCGGAUUAAUACCGCAUACGACCUACGGGUGAAAGCGGGGGACCGCAAGGCCUCGCGCUAUUGGAGCGGCCGAUGUCAGAUUAGGUAGUUGGUGGGGUAAAGGCCUACCAAGCCUGCGAUCUGUAGCUGGUCUGAGAGGACGACCAGCCACACUGGGACUGAGACACGGCCCAGACUCCUACGGGAGGCAGCAGUGGGGAAUUUUGGACAAUGGGCGCAAGCCUGAUCCAGCCAUGCCGCGUGCGGGAAGAAGGCCUUCGGGUUGUAAACCGCUUUUGUCAGGGAAGAAAUCCUUUGGGCUAAUACCCUGAAGGGAUGACGGUACCUGAAGAAUAAGCACCGGCUAACUACGUGCCAGCAGCCGCGGUAAUACGUAGGGUGCAAGCGUUAAUCGGAAUUACUGGGCGUAAAGCGUGCGCAGGCGGUUGUGCAAGACAGGUGUGAAAUCCCCGGG
rnacentral:rRNA from 1 species